AGCGAACGCUGGCGGCAGGCCUAACACAUGCAAGUCGAACGAACCCUUCGGGGUUAGUGGCGGACGGGUGAGUAACACGUGGGAACGUGCCUUUAGGUUCGGAAUAACUCAGGGAAACUUGUGCUAAUACCGAAUGUGCCCUUCGGGGGAAAGAUUUAUCGCCUUUAGACCGGCCCGCGUCUGAUUAGCUAGUUGGUGAGGCAAUGGCUCACCAAGGCUACGAUCAGUAGCUGGUCUGAGAGGAUGACCAGCCACAUUGGGACUGGGACACGGCCCAAACUCCUACGUGAGGCAGCAGUGGGGAGUCUUGCGCAAUGGUCGAAAGCCUGACGCAGCCAUGCCGCGUGGAUGAUGAAGGUCUUAGGAUUGUAAAAUCCUUUCACCGGUGAAGAUAAUGACUGUAGCCGGAGAAGAAGCCCCGGCUAACUUCGUGCCAGCCGCCGCCGUAAAAC
rnacentral:rRNA from 1 species